CCAACGGCCCUCUUUAGGGCCAAUUAAUUUUAUACCUAGAUUAUUU
rfam:Strongyloides papillosus strain LIN genome assembly, scaffold: SPAL_scaffold0000064